AUUGAACGCUGGCGGCAGGCCUAACACAUGCAAGUCGAGCGGGCGGCGGACGGGUGAGGAAUGUCUGGGAAACCGCCCGAUGGAGGGGGAUAACUAGUGGAAACGGUAGCUAAUACCGCAUACUAUCAGAUGUGUUCAGAUGGGAUUAGCUAGUGGGUGUGGUAACGGCUCACCUAGGCGACGAUCGCGAGCUGGUCUGAGAGGAUGACCAGCCACACUGGAACUGAGACACGGUCCAGAGUCCUACGGGAGGCAGCAGUGGGGAAUAUUGCACAAUGGGCGCAAGCCUGAUGCAGCCAUGCCGCGUGUAUGAAGAAGGACUUCGGGGUGUAAAGUACUUUCAGCGGGGAGGCGUUACCCGCAGAAGAAGCACCGGCUAACUCCGUGCCAGCAGCCGCGGUAAUAC
rnacentral:rRNA from 1 species